GUGUCAGCAGCCGCGGUAAUACGUAGGGCGCAAGCGUUGUCCGGAAUUAUUGGGCGUAAAGAGCUCGUAGGCGGUCUGUCGCGUCCGUUGUGAAAACUCGAGGCUCAACCUCGGGCUUGCAGUGGAUACGGGCAGACUAGAGUGCGGUAGGGGAGACUGGAAUUCCUGGUGUAGCGGUGGAAUGCGCAGAUAUCAGGAGGAACACCGAUGGCGAAGGCAGGUCUCUGGGCCGCAACUGACGCUGAGGAGCGAAAGCAUGGGGAGCGAACAGGAUUAGAUACCCGAGUAGUCC
rnacentral:rRNA from 1 species